rnacentral:rRNA from 1 species
GAUGAACGCUGGCGGCGUGCCUAAUACAUGCAAGUCGAGCGAACGGACGAGAAGCUUGCUUCUCUGAUGUUAGCGGCGGACGGGUGAGUAACACGUGGAUAACCUACCUAUAAGACUGGGAUAACUUCGGGAAACCGGAGCUAAUACCGGAUAAUAUCUUGAACCGCAUGGUUCAAAAGUGAAAGACGGUCUUGCUGUCACUUAUAGAUGGAUCCGCGCUGCAUUAGCUAGUUGGUAAGGUAACGGCCUACCAAGGCAACGAUGCAUAGCCGACCUGAGAGGGUGAUCGGCCACACUGGAACUGAGACACGGUCCAGACUCCUACGGGAGGCAGCAGUAGGGAAUCUUCCGCAAUGGGCGAAAGCCUGACGGAGCAACGCCGCGUGAGUGAUGAAGGUCUUCGGAUCGUAAAACUCUGUUAUUAGGGAAGAACAUAUGUGUAAGUAACUGUGCACAUCUUGACGGUACCUAAUCAGAAAGCCACGGCUAACUACGUG